UCAACCAUCAAAAUAUACAGUACCCUCCCUUAAAGCCCAGCCUUUGUACCCACGUACAAAAUGAUUCUAAUUCUGUCUGAAAAAAUCUCACAGGUAUAAAAGAAGACUGAAAACAUACUCCAGAGCCUGCAUACGAUGAAACACCAGGUGACAGUAGCGCGCCUUGGCAGUUGGAGAUCACCUGUCCCAAGGGCAACAACUGAGCUUCUGCCUUAGCCCCACCCACCUUUCAAGGAUCAGCCAACUGAUGUGGUGAGACACCCAGGCCUCUUGGGACAAGGGGUGAGACUUUGUCACCUUCAUUACCUAGAGGGAUUAUUGAGUUGACAUCAUAAAGUAUGUGAACUGCAUGUCUAUAAAUAACUUUGAGUCACUGGAAGACAAAAGUACCCUGGAUGAGAAGGUCCUGUGAAAGAAUCAAGCAUAAUUGAGUUUCUGGCAGAGCACUGCAGUGGAGUCAGGAGAUAUGGGUGCUAGUGCCUGAACCAACACUGGCUCUGGGAAUUUGAGUGUCUCAUCCUGCAAGAAUGUCACUAAAGCUUAUCCAUCAUAUAAACACAUAUUUAUUUCAUUUCCUUCUGCUUCAAGUUCAGUUCAUCUCUAUGAGAUGUUCAUGUUAAAGUCUCUUUUGUGGGAAGAAGAACACAGGAGAGGCAGAGGGAGAGUUAACACAGACACAAGAGAGGCAGUAAGACCAAGGAUGGAGAGGCUGGAAUGUGCAUGAAUGAGCCACGGAAUAUUAACAGCCAACAGAUGCUAGAAGAAGCAAGGAACAUAUUCUCUAGAGCUUCCAUGAAGAGUGUCAUCCUACCAACACUUUGAGUUUGGUCCAGUGAAAGUAAUUUUGGACUUCGGAUACCUAACUCAGUGAGUGAAUUAAUUUCUGUUGUUUAUAGAUCCCAAGUGUAUUGUAAUUUGUCACAGUAGCUAUAGGAAAGUAAUGCAACCACUAUGAAGGGGAAUUUGAUAAUACCUAGCAAAAUUAUAUAUCUUCUUAUGCUUUGACUUGGAAUUCCCAUUUCAAGAAACAUCCAUAUCUAUAUACUAAAUAUAUAUUAGUAAUGACACAAAAAGUAUAGAUAUAGAUAAGGAUAUUCACUGAUGCACUCUAUGUACAGCAAAAGUAAACAACUUUUGAUGGGUAUUUAUAUCCAUCAGUUGUGUUCUAGAUGAACAAACUGUCAUGCAACCAUAGAGCAAUGUACACUAAGUAAGUUUAAAGAAUUAUGAAUAUCUCCACAUAGAACUAUGGGAGGACCUCCAAGAUAUACUAUUAAGUGAAAAGUCAGUGUAUACAAAGGUGUGUAUAGUAUGGUACUUUUUAAUCUAAGAAUUGGGGGAAAUGCAAAUAUAUACAUUUUACUUAUAUUAAAAAUAAAAGAACCAGUGAACAUUGAUUCAUUGGUAGAAAAGAAAUAACCGAAUUUUAAUAAUAGAAAAAAUAGACUAAAAAUAUAGAACAAAGCCUCAGGGAACUGUGGGACUAUACAAAACGUAUAAUAGUCAUGUGAUUUUUGUCUUGGAGAGGAGGAAAAGUGCAUAGAAGAAAAAGUAUUUGAAGAAAUAAUGGUUGACAAACUUCAAAUUCGGAAAAAGACAUAAGCCUAGAGGUUCAAGAAAUUGAGUGAACCCUAAACAGAAUUAUUCCAAAUAAAGCCAUGAAAACAGACAUCAUGAUCAAACUUCAGAAAACUAAAAACAAAAGCAGAAAAUGAAAACAGGGAGAGAGAAAUGAUGCAUUACCUGUAGGAGAAAAAUAAAUAACAGCAAAUUUCUCAUCAGAAACCAGUGUAGAAGGAAUUAGCACAACAUUUUUCAAGUGCUGAUAGAAAAGAACUUUUAACCUGAAAUUCUAUCCAGCAAAGUUAUCCUCCAAGAAAGAAGGGGUAUAUAAAGAUAUUGUCAGAUGAAGGAAAAUGAAGAGAAUUUAUCAGCAGCAGAUGUAACCUAAAAGGAUGGCAAAAAAGAAGUUCUUAAGACAGAAAGUAAAUGAUAAUAGAAGGGCUCUCCAAAAAAGAUACAAAAUGAUAGGGCCAACUGUGUAUGAGAGAACAUGUGCAGAUAACAUGGUAGAAAUCCAGAAACAAGCCAUUAUCUCAGGAGAAAUCCUGUGCAGAAAUUCUAGUAACAGAGUUGAAAAGGUUAGGUAGUGUGGACAUUUGAGUAAAGUAUGCAAAAUCCAUGUGUCUGCAACAGCAGAGUUAUACAACCGUAAGAAGGUGUUCAGUUAACAAAUGCAGAUCUGUUUAGAGCAGAGGCCAGAUAUUAACUUGCAGAAAUGAUAAUUUCACAAGAACAAUAUGUUAAAAUAAAAAUCGUAAACUUGUCAGAGCAGUGUGGUGCUGGGAUACAAUUCACUGAGCUGAUGAGAGGAGUGGAGACAACAAAGGAGGAGAAAGCUUCACUAAGUAGUCUCUGGGAAGACGCAGAGAUGAAACAAAUGAAAGCAUAGAGAGAGUGCAAACUCAUGGAGAGAGGGUUCUGGCUAAGAAAACUACUCCAGGAGGCAGGCUUCUAAGAAGCUCACUGGCAGAUGGGGGAGUCCAUGGGACCUGGGGUCAGAGAGAAACGAAAGGGGGCGUAUGAUCUCCAGAUCGCCUGGGGGAUCCAUUAGUUUAAAAUCCUUCCCCUUGAUGUCUGCUUCUACUUUAAUGUAGGUUUAGAGAGCUGAGCAUCAACUCUUCACUACUGUCAGUGUUCCUGGUUCUUCCCUGCCCCCAUGGGACAAUGUCAUGCAGGGCACUUUCCUUCUUACCAAUGUUUGUGCCAUUUCAGUGUGUAAAGAGGUUACAUAGUAGCAUCCCAUGGAAGCAAAUGGUCCCCUAUCAAUUGGUCCUAAACCUGAACAGCCUCAGACCCCUGGGGUGUCCAAUCAGUUACCUAGGAGUCCUCUCUGCUCAUCUGGGAGCCCCUACUCCUCACCAGUCAGGCUGGACACCCAGUCCCCUCCCUCCUAUCCAAUCCCCAUAAGCCCUGCCCCCUCUACCAGGUCCAGCUCCUUUUUAAGGAGUCUCUCUGAUGACUCCAGUGUGGUCUUUCUCUUUAUUAUACAUUAAGGGGGCUCUACAGAGGUCACCAUAACUUCCAUAGGAUCUGGACCCUGUGAAACCAUCAAUGUGACCUCGGUAGCCCUGGGUCACUGGAGGUGUGAAGAGUGACAGAUGCUCAUAACACUUGUGUACAGUCCAUGGCGGGGGAGGGAACUCACCUUAGGAUAUCUAAGACUCUGGGGCCCAGGAAGAGUCCUGACUCUUGCUACAGUGUCCCUCUCUGCCAACCCCCAGUCACCUCUUCGUAGAACUUCAGGUAGGUUCCAGACCCCUUGGCCAUGUGCACACCUGAUAUGAACAUAGAGGGCACCAACACAGGAAAAGCACAAUUAUUAUAUGGAAAAAAUGAGGACUUUUCCCCCAGCCCAACUCUAUUACACUGCAUAUCAUAGAGAUGGCACUGAAAUUAAUAUGUAAUAUAGACAAAUACGUGGUUCUCUUCUUACCUUCCCAAAUACUCACUAAAACAUAGUAGUGCUAUAUAGAAAGAGUUAGGAUAGGAAGAAAGUAAACAUUGGUAUUGUGGAUAGUGCACCAAUUACUGUGCUGGGAUCUUGAUAAGAUUUUGUCCUUGAACUCCUAACAAUGCUCCUUUGAGUAUAAGGACUAUGAGGUAGACAUGCAAACACACUGUAUAUGUAAGUGUGUGUGCAUUUAUAUGUUAAAUUAGUAAGCUGGAGGACAAGGAUACCUAUGUUUGUGUGUGUGCGUGUGUGUAGUGACAACAUACAAAACAAUAAUACAUUUUGUUUAGGGAAACUCAUAUAGAAUAAAAUGAUAGAGGAAUGAUAACCAUCCCUUUCUGGAUAGUAAUUAUCUCUAUGGAAGAAGGAAGAGGAUACAGUCAGGGAAGAGUAAAGUUUUUUCUUAAUCUGGACUGAUUUUGUAUCUCUAUGCUUUUCAUCUGCAUUAUCUCAUAAGUAGUAGUGCUUUUAGGGGAUGCAGUUUUAUCGUAAACGUAAUGGACACUCCUCUUAGCAAAUGUUUAAUAUUUGGAGUCAAAUGCAGAGUUUAAAAAUAUCAGUACUCAGCAAUCCCUCAUCCUUGAGAUUCACAUAGUUUCACUCCAUUGUUUUUUUCUGCAUGAACAUAGGCAAAUGUAUAUGUAUUAUAUCACCUUUCUUAUAACUAUCAUCUUAAUGUAUGUAUAGUUCAGUAUCAUUUUCUUGUUAUUUUGGUUUUGCUUUUGUCUUAAGCACUAGCAACUGGAGAAAAUGUUCUGAUAAAUGACAAGGUAUAAGAUGGGAUCUAUCUAUGCUUUAUAAUGAAGCCUUUACCAUUUGACCCAGCCCUUACCCUUGAACAUUGCAUCUGAUUAGAAAUGCCAUACGUGUAGAAUAUGAAAUAGUGCUAUGUGUUUGGAUCUACUCAUGAGCUUUCUAUAGACUUCCUUUAAUCUCUAUGUCAAUCACUCUACCCAACAGUUAUAAAAUCACAGUUUUGUGAAACAUUAUAUGUCUGGCAGUAUAAUCUUUAUCCCAUCACUCACUUUUUGGAUGGGUGGCAGGAAUCAUCAUCAUCACCAUCAUCAUCAGUAGUAAAAGAUACCAACAAUCAAAGAGCAUGUGAUAGAUAAAUUGCUUGCUCAAGAUCAUGCAACCAGCAAGUAAUAAUUCUCAGUAUCAAAUGCUAGUCCUUCUGACUCCAAAGCCUACGCCCCAGCCUCUGUUUCUAUAUUGAAUGCCCUUCUAUAUUAGGGCUGGGGCCAGUAUGGAGGAAGGGACUCACCCAAGGUCCUGUGCUCAGUUAAUGGGUCUGGUUCCUGGGACACAUGUUUGAUGACUCCCAUCUUCUGUCUAGCUGCUCUUUAUGCUAUCUCUUCUGUACUAUUUCUUCUUCCUGGGGUGCAAUAAGAAAUUGGUUCACUCAUAUCAAACAAGAAGGAAAAUGGAAGACAGGAAAUCAUGUGGUAAAAAGGAAAUGAUAAGAUGGGACCUAAGUUCACUUCUUGCUGCUACAUUUCCAGGUGUCAUCUGUUUCAAAUCUUCUAUUUUGUGGGACAGAAGGUGACAGGAUGGGCUAGGAGUAACAUUUAUCAAAGUUCUACUAUGUGCCACACAUGUUAUAAAGUUUUCUUUUCUUUUUACAAGUCUGUUAAGAAGGUACCCUUAGUUCCAUUUUACAGAUGACAGACCUCAGACUCACAGAAGGUAUGUAAAUAUUCCAGGGCCAAACAUCUACCCCUUUUCCUCUGCCUAGACCAAUCAGCAGCUUCCUAUUUAUGAUGGUGGAUUUCUAGGGCUUAAGGACUCAUAGUGAGAAACACCCCUGAUAUGGAGCCUGGGGUGUCAUGGCCCCAUUGGUAAUCACUCCCCUUUGGUAGAUAAAUAUGACAGUGGGGAUGAAGUCCUGCCCUGUGAGCCAAGGGGCCUGGGAGUGAAAGCCCUGUGGCCGGGUUGACUCCUGAGGUGUUGAACGGGACCCAGGAAGCAGCACAAGCUCUGGCCCUUUGGAAAGGGAACCUGACUGGUAGGGUAUUAACAUAUGCAACAACUAUAUGAAGGGUGUUCUACAUUUUAUCUCAUUUCAAUCUUAACUACUCUACCCAAGACCAGUAAUUAUCCCCAUUACUCAGUGAAGGUACAGAAGUAAAAAAUUAAGUAACUUGAUCUAGGGAAACAACCUUAUAAAUUACUUAAAGACUCAAAAAACAAUUAGUCAAAAGACCAAGCUUUUUUCUCCCUCUGUCCUGUGAGCUGGCAUGCACUAUACCUCAAAGCAUUAUUUUUCAUAUUUUUUUAAACACUGGGCUGAAGUACUUUUUAAAUAGUAAAAAUAAUUAUGAAGUGUAAAAUACCAUAUGAAUAACAAAAAGUUGAAAUCAAAAUGUGUGUGAAAAACUGGUGAAAUUAUUUACCACUUAUAUUUAGACAUAAGUUUAUAUCCUUGAUGUACAAAAAACGCUUAAACAAAAGACACAGGUCAGUAACAUAAAGAGAUAAUGCACAUAAAAAGCAAUAUAAAUUGCUAAUAAAUACUUGGAAACAUUUCAAAUCAAAUAAACAAAUGAAAUGAAAAUGAAUCAUAUUAAAUGAAAUAAGUAAAAAAUGUAGAAUCUGAUCCCAUUUCUUCAAAAUAAUACACAUCAACUUUGGUAAGUGGGUAUGUAUGUGUCAUUAGGUAUAAAUUAGUGCGCUACAUGCAGAGAAAAAUACAGAGAGUAGGCACCAGUAAAUUGACAAAGAUGAUCUCUGUAUUAUAAUGGGCAGAAGAUGGAGGCAGAGAGACAGAAUAAUUUCACAUUCAUAAUAUACAUUUUUAUAUUGUUUGAUGCUUGUUAAAAAAUAAAAAUUAUUAACUGGUAAUCUGAAAAAGUUAUUGAAAUAAAGUUUUGUAAAAUAGGAAAGCUAUAAAGCAAGUCACAAAAUGAUAUGUUUGUAGAAAUACAUUUACUGAUUUAGAAACAUGUUCAUAUACUGUUGUGUGAAAAUAACACAUUAAAAUAUUUCUUUGAUAAUAAUUCAAUGUAUGUGGGUUUGUGGGAGAUAGAGGAUACUUUCAUUUUAUGAAUUUGUUUUUCCAUAGUGUUUUAAAUAUGGAACAUUUACUGUAUAAAAUGUUGAAAACAGAAUAAUUAUGAGCUGAUUACAAAUAUGAUGCCCACAUAUAUAUUCAUUACUUUGGAAACAUGUUCAUAAUAUACUUUUUAAUGAAUAAAAGUAUCAUAUCAAACCAAUUUAUUUGACACUUCCUCUCUGUGUGUGUGCAUGUUUCUACACCUCAAACGUCUUCACACCAAUUGUACAUAUACUAAGUCCUGCAGCUUUCCAUUUAGUUCACAUGGG